rnacentral:rRNA from 1 species
GAUCAUGGCUCAGGAUGAACGCUGGCGGCGUGCUUAACGCAUGCAAGUCGAACGAAGCACUUUAUUACGAUUUCUUCGGAAUGACGAUUUAGUGACUGAGUGGCGGACGGGUGAGUAACGCGUGGGUAACCUGCCUUAUACAGGGGGAUAACAGUUAGAAAUGACUGCUAAUACCGCAUAAGCGCACAGGAUUGCAUGAUCUGGUGUGAAAAACUCCGGUGGUAUAAGAUGGACCCCGCG